AACGAACGCUGGCGGCGUGCUUAACACAUGCAAGUCGAACGAGACGUCCGUGUCUUGUGGCGCAGGGCUGCGUACCGCCGGGGGACCUACCCUUAAGUUCGCUAUCACUCACCGAAGGGGGUGCUCAUGCCGGUUGAUGUCAUCGCACCAAAGAUUUCUCGCCGUUGGGUGGGCCCGCGUUGGAUUAGGGGGUUGGUAGGGGAAAAGCCGGUCAAGGAGUCGUUGCCUAGCUGGUCUGGGAAGAUGGCACACCACGAUUGGGAUGAGGCCCGGCCUAGCCUCCUACGGGAGGCAGCAGUGGGGAAUAUUGGACAAUGGGCGAAAGCCUGAUCCAGCAAUGCCGCGUGAGUGAUGAAGGCCUUAGGGUUGUAAAGCUCUUUUACCCGAGAUGAUAAUGACAGUACCGGGAGAAUAAGCUCCGGCUAACUCCGUG
rnacentral:rRNA from 1 species